AGGAAACCAACAGGGAUUGCCCCAGUAACGGCGAGUGAAGCGGCAACAGCUCAAAUUUGAAAUCUGGCCCCCAGGGCCCGAGUUGUAAUUUGCAGAGGAUGCUUUUGGCGCGGUGCCUUCCGAGUUCCCUGGAACGGGACGCCAUAGAGGGUGAGAGCCCCGUCUGGUCGGACGCCUAGCCUAUGUAAAGCUCCUUCGACGAGUCGAGUAGUUUGGGAAUGCUGCUCUAAAUGGGAGGUAUAUGUCUUCUAAAGCUAAAUAUUGGCCAGAGACCGAUAGCGCACAAGUAGAGUGAUCGAAAGAUGAAAAGCACUUUGAAAAGAGGGUUAAAUAGUACGUGAAAUUGUUGAAAGGGAAGCGCUUAUGACCAGACUUGGGCCCGGUGGAUCAUCCAGCGUUCUCGCUGGUGCACUCCGCCGGGUUCAGGCCAGCAUCAGUUCGCCGCGGGGGAAAAAGGCUUCGGGAACGUGGCUCCUACGGGAGUGUUAUAGCCCGUUGCAUAAUACCCUGGGGCGGACUGAGGUUCGCGCUCCGCAAGGAUGCUGGCGUAAUGGUCAUCAGCGACCCGUCUUGAAACACGGACCAAGGAGUCGUCUUCGUAUGCGAGUGUUCGGGUGUAAAACCCCUACGCGUAAUGAAAGUGAACGCAGGUGAGAGCUUCGGCGCAUCAUCGACCGAUCCUGAUGUUCUCGGAUGGAUUUGAGUAAGAGCAUACGGGGCCGGACCCGAAAGAAGGUGAACUAUGCCUGUAUAGGGUGAAGCCAGAGGAAACUCUGGUGGAGGCUCGCAGCGGUUCUGACGUGCAAAUCGAUCGUCAAAUAUGGGCAUGGGGGCGAAAGACUAAUCGAACCUUCUAGUAGCUGGUUUCCGCCGAAGUUUCCCUCAGGAUAGCAGUGUUGAACUCAGUUUUAUGAGGUAAAGCGAAUGAUUAGGGACCCGGGGGCGCUUUAUAGCCUUCAUCCAUUCUCAAACUUUAAAUAUGUAAGAAGCCCUUGUUGCUUAAUUGAACGUGGGCAUUCGAAUGUAUCAACACUAGUGGGCCAUUUUUGGUAAGCAGAACUGGCGAUGCGGGAUGAACCGAACGCGAGGUUAAGGUGCCAGAGUAGACGCUCAUCAGACACCACAAAAGGCGUUAGUACAUCUUGACAGCAGGACGGUGGCCAUGGAAGUCGGAAUCCGCUAAGGACUGUGUAACAACUCACCUGCCGAAUGUACUAGCCCUGAAAAUGGAUGGCGCUCAAGCGUCUCACCCAUACCUCGCCCUCAGGGUAGAAACGAUGCCCUGAGGAGUAGGCGGACGUGGAGGUCAGUGACGAAGCCUAGGGC
rnacentral:rRNA from 1 species